rnacentral:rRNA from 1 species
CCUACGGGAGUCAGCAGUAGGGAAUCUUUCACAAUGGGCGAAAGCCUGAUGGAGCAACGCCGCGUGCAGGAUGAAGGCCUUCGGGUUGUAAACUGCUUUUAUAAGCGAGGAAUAUGAUGGUAACUUAUGAAUAAGGAUCGGCUGACUCCGUUCUAGCAGCCGCGGUAAUACGGAGGAUGUGAGCGUUGUCCGGAGUUAUUGGGUGUAAAGGGAGCGUAGGUGGAUUGUUAAGUCAGUAGUGAAAGUCUGCGGCUCAACCGUACAAUUGCAGUUGAAACUGGCAGACUUGAGUACAGUAGAGGUAAGCGGAAUUCGUGGUGUAGCGGUGAAAUGCGUAGAUAUCAGGAAGAACUCCAGUGGCGAACGCAGUUCACUGGACUGCAACUGACACUGAGGCUCGAAAGUGUGGGUAGCAAACAGGAUUAGAUACCCUUGUAGUC